GACGAACGCUGGCGGCGUGCUUAACACAUGCAAGUCGAACGGUGACGGAGAGCUUGCUCUCCUGAUCAGUGGCGAACGGGUGAGUAACACGUGGGCAACCUGCCCAGACUUCGGGAUAACGCUUCGAAAGAGGUGCUAAUACCGGAUACGAACUCCUUGGGCAUCCUUGGAGUUGGAAAGUUUUUCGGUCUGGGAUGGGCCCGCGGCCUAUCAGCUUGUUGGUGAGGUAACGGCUCACCAAGGCGACGACGGGUAGCCGGCCUGAGAGGGCGACCGGCCACACUGGGACUGAGACACGGCCCAGACUCCUACGGGAGGCAGCAGUGGGAAUAUUGCGCAAUGGGCGAAAGCCUGACGCAGCAACGCCGCGUGACGGGA
rnacentral:rRNA from 1 species